rnacentral:siRNA from 1 species
UAAAUACAAACCCUGCGGUAUC